rnacentral:lncRNA from 12 species
GUUCUACAGGUUUCAAUUUUUUUAUAUAUUUAACAAUAUAAUUAUUAUGGCAUAUAUAAUUAAUUAAUUAACAAUAUAAUUAAUAUUAUGUUGUUUAGAAGUUUGAAGUGUUGUUUAUUUUCUUUGUGAAUUAUUAAUUCAUACAAAAAUGAAAAAGGCAGAGAUAUAUAGGGGUCUUUAGGAUUUGUUCAUGUAAAGAAGACAAACAGAGUUUGCUCAUUUUCUGUUCUGUUUCCUUUUUUGAAGGUUUUGAACAAAGAGAACUUGUCUUGGCCACAGAACUUCAUCCAGUCGUAUGUUACACAUAAAACAGUGAGAGAGGAGGAACGCAGGAAGCUAAUGAGGAGAAACACUGAGCUGAAACUUGAGUGUGAACAUCUGAGUGAAGAGGACAAGAGACUCUGCGAUUCUCUCUCGGUAAGAAACUGUGCUAAAUAGGGCUGGUUUGAAAUAUAGACUACCUAAUUUUAAUCUUGAUUUUAACAAACCCAUACUGAUUCUUAAUUAUAAAAGUAUAUUUUUUUGUAAGAUUAUAAACAGUGUUGACAUUCUUUAUAGUGAUGCGUAUAUUAUUGUGUUAUUGUUAAGCCCCACGAAAGACACAAAAACAUUAUAAAGCACCAUAAGGUUUUAGUGCACUAUACUGUAUUUCAAGUGUUCUGAAGCUGAUUCAAGGUAAUGCAAACUCUUCUCUCCGCUGCGGCUGUCUAUCAUCCUCCAUUCAGCAUUCAAACUGCAAGUCGUGUUCGGUUAUGAUGACACGAUAAAACUCUCUUCAAGAGCCCACAAAAUAACUGUGAUUUAAAACUGUUAAAAGCAAAGGCUCAAUAAACUAUUGCUCAGAUAUAAUACACUACACAUCAAUAUCUCUUCCCUUUGUGCUUUGAACUUUUCUAUGCGGAUCGCUACAUGCUGUGACUCUGUAUUGUUUCAAGCUCAUCUUUCUGCACAUGACUUUGUGCUGCUCUGUAUGGAGCCUUUCGUAUUAUAAGACUUUUGCGCAAUGAAAGAUUAUUUAUUAAUAGUCUUUCUUGUUCUGUCCUAUCUAUCAUAUGUUG